rnacentral:rRNA from 1 species
GCACAACGCGAAGAACCUUACCCACCUUUGACAUGUACGGAAUCCUUUAGAGAUAGAGGAGUGCUCGAAAGAGAGCCGUAACACAGGUGCUGCAUGGCUGUCGUCAGCUCGUGUCGUGAGAUGUUGGGUUAAGUCCCGCAACGAGCGCAACCCUUGCCAUUAGUUGCUACAUUUAGUUGAGCACUCUAAUGGGACUGCCGGUGACAAACCGGAGGAAGGUGGGGAUGACGUCAAGUCCUCAUGGCCCUUAUAGGUGGGGCUACACACGUCAUACAAUGGCUGGUACAAAGGGUUGCCAACCCGCGAGGGGGAGCUAAUCCCAUAAAGCCAGUCGUAGUCCGGAUCGCAGUCUGCAACUCGACUGCGUGAAGUCGGAAUCGCUAGUAAUCGUGGAUCAGAAUGUCACGGUGAAUACGUUCCCGGGUCUUGUACACAC